rnacentral:rRNA from 1 species
GCGAAAACUUUACAAUGCGGGAAACCGUGAUAAGGAAACCCCGAGUGCCAGCAUAGGCUGGCUGUCCGCCAGUGUAAAUAACUGGUGAAGAAAGGGCCGGGCAAGACCGGUGCCAGCCGCCGCGGUAAUACCGGCGGCUCGAGUGGUGGCCACUAUUACUGGGCUUAAAGGGUCCGUAGCUUGAUAUGCAAGUCUCUUGAGAAAUCCGCCGGCUUAACUGGCGGGCGUUCAGGGGAAACUGCAUUUCUAGGGACCGGGAGAGGUGAGAGGUACUGCCGGGGUAGGAGUGAAAUCCUGUAAUCCCGGUGGGACCACCUAUGGCGAAGGCAUCUCACCAGAACGGGUCCGACAGUGAGGGACGAAAGCUGGGGGAGCAAACC